UAUUAGUAGGCCCAGGAUAGU
rnacentral:siRNA from 1 species